rnacentral:rRNA from 1 species
UGGUAAUGCCGGAUGCUCCAGUUGAUCGCAUGGUCUUCUGGGAAAGCUUUCGCGGUAUGGGAUGGGGUCGCGUCCUAUCAGCUUGACGGCGGGGUAACGGCCCACCGUGGCUUCGACGGGUAGCCGGCCUGAGAGGGCGACCGGCCACAUUGGGACUGAGAUACGGCCCAGACUCCUACGGGAGGCAGCAGUGGGGAAUAUUGCACAAUGGGCGCAAGCCUGAUGCAGCGACGCCGCGUGAGGGAUGGAGGCCUUCGGGUUGUAAACCUCUUUUAUCGGGGAGCAAGCGAGAGUGAGUUUACCCGUUGAAUAAGCACCGGCUAACUACGUGCCAGCAGCCGCGGUAAUACGUAGGGUGCAAGCGUUAUCCGGAAUUAUUGGGCGUAAAGGGCUCGUAGGCGGUUCGUCGCGUCCGGUGUGAAAGUCCAUCGCUUAACGGUGGAUUCGCGCCGGGUACGGGCGGGCUUGAGUGCGGUAGGGGAGACUGGAAUUCCCGGUGUAACGGUGGAAUGUGUAGAUA